rnacentral:rRNA from 1 species
GACGAACGCUGGCGGCGUGCUUAACACAUGCAAGUCGAACGGUAAGGCCCUUCGGGGUACACGAGUGGCGAACGGGUGAGUAACACGUGGGUGAUCCGCCCUGCACUUCGGGAUAAGCCUGGGAAACUGGGUCUAAUACCGGAUAGGACCCUGGGAUGCAUGUCCUGGGGUGGAAAGCUUUUGCGGUGUGGGAUGGGCCCGCGGCCUAUCAGCUUGUUGGUGGGGUGAUGGCCUACGAAGGCGACGACGGGUAGCCGGCCUGAGAGGGUGACCGGCCACACUGGGACUGAGAUACGGCCCAGAGUCCUACGGGAGGCAGCAGUGGGGAAUAUUGCACAAUGGGCGCAAGCCUGAUGCAGCGACGCCGCGUGAGGGAUGACGGCCUUCGGGUUGUAAACCUCUUUCAGCACCGACGAAGCGCAAGUGACGGUAGGUGCAGAAGAAGGACCGGCCAACUACGUGCCAGCCGCCGCAGUAA